GCCCGCCUAGCUCAAUCGGAUAGAGCGUCAGACUUUUACGAUCAAUCCAUGUUUGCACUGACUGCGCGGGAAUCUGAAGGCUGCGAGUUCGACCCUCGCGGUGGGCU
rfam:Phlebia centrifuga strain FBCC195 PHLCENscaffold_2616, whole genome shotgun sequence.